GAUGAACGCUGGCGGCGUGCCUAAUACAUGCAAGUCGAGCGAACAGACGAGGCGCUUGCUCCUCUGACGUUAGCGGCGGACGGGUGAGUCACACGUGGAUAACCUACCUAUAAGACUGGGAUAACUUCGGGAAACCGGAGCUAAUACCGGAUAAUAUAUUGAACCGCAUGGUUCAAUAGAGAAAGACGGUUUUGCUGUCACUUAUAGAUGGAUCCGCGCCGCAUUAGCUAGUUGGUAAGGUAACGGCUUACCAAGGCAACGAUGCGUAGCCGACCUGAGAGGGUGAUCGGCCACACUGGAACUGAGACACGGUCCAGACUCCUACGGGAGGCAGCAGUAGGGAAUCUUCCGCAAUGGGCGAAAGCCUGACGGAGCAACGCCGCGUGUGUGAUGAAGGUCUUCGGAUCGUAAAGCUCUGUUAUUAGGGAAGAACAGCUGUGUAAGUAACUAUGCACGUCUUGACGGUACCUAAUCAGAAAGCCACGGCUAACUACGUG
rnacentral:rRNA from 1 species